AAAUGAGUCUCUAUAGGAAGGGGAAGAUAGCCGAUAACUACCUUUAAGCUGGUUCAAAUCCAGCCUCAUUUU
rnacentral:tRNA from 1 species